rnacentral:rRNA from 1 species
GAUGAACGCUGGCGGCGUGCCUAAUACAUGCAAGUCGAGCGAACAGACGAGGUGCUUGCACCUCUGACGUUAGCGGCGGACGGGUGAGUAACACGUGGGUAACCUACCUAUAAGACUGGAAUAACUCCGGGAAACCGGGGCUAAUGCCGGAUAACAUAUUGAACCGCAUGGUUCAAUAGUGAAAGACGGUCUUGCUGUCACUUAUAGAUGGACCCGCGCCGUAUUAGCUAGUUGGUAAGGUAACGGCUUACCAAGGCGACGAUACGUAGCCGACCUGAGAGGGUGAUCGGCCACACUGGAACUGAGACACGGUCCAG